rnacentral:lncRNA from 1 species
ACUAUUUGACGCAAUCAAAGUUAAAUCAUGCUUAAUGUCUACAAACAUGCAUGAGACAUUAGUUUUGACCGGGUGCCAAAUUAAAAUUUAGAAUAUUAUAUUACUUGUAUUGAGUUCUUUCUUAUGUGGUUUUGGUAACUACUUUUUUCUAUUUUCUAGAAUUACACGGAGUCGCAAUUAAUUUGUAGUUAUAACAGAUUAACAGUGACCCAGAAUUAGUUAUUGCACCUGCUUAAGGUAGUAAAGUGGGACCAAAAAAAUACGACAUCAUAUCGAUCGAACACUUGUGAACACGUACGAUGGAGUUAUUUUUUCG